CUUCAUUAGAAGCAAUCUGAAAGCUCAGCAUGGUCGGGAUGCCGUGCCUGCUAAGUGCUACCGGAGCGUUAGGAGGAGGCACAGACAUAUGUUUUCCCCUCUGAAUCAAUCACUUUCACACCCCAGGUUGGCUUUGUGUUUUGUUUACUGAAUCUCAUCUGUAAACGCCUUCUCCUUUGAUCAUACUGCCAUAUAUACAGCCCAGUCAUGUACGCCAUUUAAUAUCGUACGCGAUUACAUAAAGGUCACAUGGUUGGUCGUUCUAGUUUUCGUAAAUAAUAAUAUUAGUUUGUAUGGGUAUACAAAACGCUGUAAAUUUAUUUAGCAGACGUUCUUUGAUAGCUGUUUACCCCAGUUAUGGCUCUGCGUACCAAUUUGGAAGUAGUUCACGUUUUGUGUGUAACCUACUUUUUUCUUCAUCUACAGCCAAUAUGGGUUCCGAAUCUCACAAAGAAGCCAGCCAACUUUAAACAGAGAAAUUUCUGAGUAUACAACUUCCCACUUUCGCAUCCGACAUUCUGCAGGAUUCAGCACUAUUCCUAUAAAAUAAAAAGAUUUCGCCUCGGGCCUCCAUGUAGCGUUAGGAUGUUAUCACCAUAAGGCGUCGUACAGUGAGCAGGGAUUUUGGUCGUGAGAGCAGCCAGUAAUUCUUCUUCGUAAAAAGUUGAAGGCUUGUCACCUGCAUGAAAGCUAUUGCCGUGUUAUGGUGAAAAGAGUAAGUCCCCAAAACGACGCACCUCUUUUGAUGUGACAUACAUUUCACUGCAUAGCUUCCAAAUCGGGUCACGUUUUCCACCAAAUUUUGGUAGAGUACACUGGAGCUUAAGAAAACGAACUAUUUUCAAGCCCAUGGAGCAAAACUCCGUUAUUGCUUACAAGAUGCAAACCAAGUGCCCUCUCAAGAAUAUCGAAUUCUUUGAAUUAAAGAACAUUUGGAAGUUCGAGUUUUUCGAUUUCUUUAAGCUCACUCGUUAAGAAAAAAAAAUAGAACUUAAAAUCUUCCCAGCGAUAAGAAAUAGGUAAAAAGUACAAUCAUCCAGAAAGAAAGGGGACGAGUAAGAAAUCCACUGAAGUGUGGCACAUAUGACGACUUGGAUUCCUUACAAAGGAAAAG